CGUGGGUCCAAGGCGCCACUGGAAGCAAGCCGUACCGAUGGACCACCAAGAGGGAAGUACACCUUGCUACAGGUAAAGUUUCCCAUUCGUUUCUGCAUGUGCCUGAUUGUCCGUAUCCACUACUAGGAAGAGACUUAUUAACCAAGUUGAGAGCUCAAAUCUAUUUUAAAAAUGGGAGUGCCUCCGUUACGGGGCCAGAUCAGGCCCCCUUACAUGUACUAACUUUCAAAUUAGAAGAUGAAUAUAAACUUUUUGAUAAACCUCCUGUAUCUGAUAAGGACAUAAAUUAUUGGCUUGAAUCCUACCCGGAGGCCUGGGCUGAAACCGGUGGAAUGGGAAUGGCUAAACAACAACCUCCAAUAGUCAUUCACCUAAAAACCACUGCUACUCCCGUGAAUAACAGUAUCCCAUGUCAAGAGAAGCUUACCAAGGCAUCAGGCCACAUAUCAAACGCCUCCUAGACCAAGGCAUUCUAACCCCUUGCCGAUUGCCCUGGAACACCCCAUUGCUACCAGUUAAGAAGCCGGGGACAAAUGAUUAUAGGCCUGUCCAGGACUUAAGAGAGGUAAACAAAAGGGUAGAGGACAUCCACCCCACGGUGCCUAACCCCUACAAUCUCCUCAGCACCUUGCCUCCCACCCAUACUUGGUACACCGUUCUAGACGUAAAAGAUGCCUUUUUCUGUUUGAGACUGUGCCCUCAAAGCCAGGCUCUCUUUGCAUUUGAAUGGAAAGAUCCCGACAAAGGGGUCUCCGGUCAAUUGACCUGGACCAGACUGCCACAAGGGUUCAAGAAUAGCCCGACGCUCUUCGAUGAAGCCUUACAUCAGGACCUGGCCGAUUUCCGCGUAAGACACCCCUCCUUAAUUAUGCUCCAAUAUGUAGAUGACAUCCUGUUGGCUGCUACCACCGAGGAGGACUGCCUUACAGGUACGGAGGCAUUAUUGCGAACUUUGGGACAGUUGGGGUACAGGGCAUCGGCUAAAAAGGCACAAAUCUGUCAGACAAAAGUUACUUACCUUGGCUAUGAACUUCAUAAUGGCCAACGAUGGCUAACCACAGCCAGGAAAGAAACUAUCUCGAGCAUACCAACUCCCCAGAACCCUAAACAACUACGGCAAUUUCUGGGCACAGCAGGUUUCUGCAGACUUUGGAUUCCUGGGUUUGCCGAGAUAGCGGCCCC
rnacentral:lncRNA from 1 species